UACGGAGGGGGCUAGCGUUGUUCGGAAUUACUGGGCGUAAAGCGCGCGUAGGCGGACCUGCAAGUCGGGGGUGAAAGCCCGAGGCUUAACCUCGGAACUGCCUUCGAUACUGCGGGUCUCGAGUCCGGGAGAGGUGAGUGGAAUUCCUAGUGUAGAGGUGAAAUUCGUAGAUAUUCGCAAGAACACCAGUGGCGAAGGCGGCUCACUGGCCCGGUACUGACGCUGAGGUGCGAAAGCGUGGGGAGCAAACAGG
rnacentral:rRNA from 1 species